GAGGGUGUGGCUCAGGGCUGGAGCAGUUUCCUGGCAUGUAAAAGGGCCUGGGUUCAAUCUCCAGCACCUCCC
rnacentral:tRNA from 1 species